AGCAACUGCUGACUGCAGGCUCUGGAAAUCCCCACAUUAAUUAGACAGAGAGAAAUCCUAGAACUAGGGCCAAAUCAUCCAAGCAGCUGGUAGAAGGGGAGCUCCAUGCACUUCCUCAUGAGGUGGGGUUGAUGAAGGAGAACAUCCAAAACCAUAGAAAAAUGGAUUUCUGAAUAA